rnacentral:rRNA from 1 species
CUACGGGCUGCUCCAGUAGGGAAUCUUCGGCAAUGGACGGAAGUCUGACCGAGCAACGCCGCGUGAGUGAAGAAGGUUUUCGGAUCGUAAAGCUCUGUUGUAAGAGAAGAACGAGUGUGAGAGUGGAAAGUUCACACUGUGACGGUAUCUUACCAGAAAGGGACGGCUAACUACGUGCCAGCAGCCGCGGUAAUACGUAGGUCCCGAGCGUUGUCCGGAUUUAUUGGGCGUAAAGCGAGCGCAGGCGGUUAGAUAAGUCUGAAGUUAAAGGCUGUGGCUUAACCAUAGUACGCUUUGGAAACUGUUUAACUUGAGUGCAGAAGGGGAGAGUGGAAUUCCAUGUGUAGCGGUGAAAUGCGUAGAUAUAUGGAGGAACACCGGUGGCGAAAGCGGCUCUCUGGUCUGUAACUGACGCUGAGGCUCGAAAGCGUGGGGAGCAAACAGGAUUAGAUACCCGUGUAGUC